UCCCUCCUUCUUUCCUUUGAAGGAACUCAAGGUGGCUUCCAUAACGACAACAACUCCGUGAGGCAGUGAUCCUCUAGUCUCCAGGCAGAAAAGCAAGAGAAGAGUGAGAAAAGCACAGCUGCAUGUUCCAGAGAUUGUACAAGAAGGGCCUGGAAGCAACUGAAGUAUGGAGAAAGAUGAGGAUGGAUAUCAAUCUGGCAUUUUUUCAAUCUGGAAAGCUUUGAUAUAUUUAGUUCAUGGGCAUGCAUAUGUAAAUAUAGACAUUAUCUGUUUCACAAACCUCCAAAGAAUCUCAUUAGUGUGUUAUUAAACCACUUGUUUUAAACUUUUAAAA